rnacentral:rRNA from 1 species
AUACGGAGGAUGCGAGCGUUAUCCGGAUUUAUUGGGUUUAAAGGGAGCGUAGGUGGGAUAUUAAGUCAGCUGUGAAAGUUUGGGGCUCAACCUUAAAAUUGCAGUUGAUACUGGUUUCCUUGAGUACGGUACAGGUGGGCGGAAUUCGUGGUGUAGCGGUGAAAUGCUUAGAUAUCACGAAGAACUCCGAUCGCGAAGGCAGCUCACCGGGCCGGAACUGACACUGAUGCUCGAAAGUGCGGGUAUCAAACAGGAUUAGAUACCCUGGUGGUCCGCACAGUAAACGAUGAAUACUCGCUGUUUGCGAUACACGGUAAGCGGCCAAGCGAAAGCGUUAAGUAUUCCACCUGGGGAGUACGCCGGCAACGGUGAAACUUAAAGGAAUUGACGGGG